GGUGUUGGCGAAGGCCUUGAUGAUGUCGGGGUUGGUGUCAAAGAUUUUGACAGCGUCGAUGUUGGUUUGGGUUUUGAUGAAGUCGGCGACUUUGGCUGGUGGCGGGAGGUUGUCACCGAGAGUACCGUAGUUUACACCGAUGGAGUAGGCUGUGGCGGCGAGCUGGACGAGGAGGAGAAGGGAGAGGAGGAGCUUGGUGGUAGCCAUAGUUUUUUUUUUUCCCCUUUUGUGGUGGUGUUUUGGGAGAUGGUGGAUCCUCUCCUUUUCCUUUGGAGGAUUGGGGAGUUGGUGGUCAAAGUAUUUAUAGGGGGGAAAGAGGAAAGAAAUUGAGGAGGAAUUAAGAAGAUAAGGGAUGAAUGUGAUCGUGGCAUGUAGUUGGUCAAAUAUCAAUUUUAUUUGUGAUUUCUAUUUACUGCCAAAUUCUGUUGGAUUUUCUUGAUGUAUGCUAGUUAUUAGGAGGAAUUUGAUCUUUUUAUUACACAUCAAAACCUAAAAAUAACUACCCUAAAACGAAUUAUCUAUUUGGUCUUGUUAUCACAUUGUUUGGGCCCAAAAUAGCAGUUUGGGCCGAGGGAGGUAUCACUUUCGGCCCGGGAAGACUACGGCGAGAAAGUCAUGGGGGCUUCAGCUCAUGGGCUUCUAGGCCUAGGUCGGUUAAAUCAGAAUGCAAGUCGAGUCCUAAUACAAUAGGGACCCUCGACGAGAUCAGUAAAACUAGAAGGCGAAUCCGGCUCAGUUAAGGACUAGAUUCGUAGUCCUAGCAGAGGUAGGACUGAUUGAGGUAACGUUAAUCCGGAGAAGGAAACCUAGUUCGAAUAGGAUUAGAACUCGGGCUCGGUGUUCUGCUUCUAUAAAUACAAGACAUUCAGCAAUGGAAAAAGCCCACAAAAAUCAAUACAAAAUUGCCCUGCGCAAACUCUCACAACUUGAGAUCUUUUUCUUUUCCUUUUUCGCUGACACAUCUUCCGUUGGCAUCAACAGCACUGUGGAAGCAACCGGUGAUAUCUUAAGUCGGCAUAGAUAGCUCUGUCACCGUAGAGUCGGUCGGUCUCGCAGUAUCUUCCGUUGGCAUCAACAGCACUGCGGCGAGAACGGUCGAUUGCCUAUCCAAGUCUUGGUCGAGAAGGGUUUUCGAAUCCUUGUUGGUCGAGGUCAUCUCAUUAGCCUUCUCGGCGAGGUGAGGUGUUACCAGGUUACUGUAUUCGGCACAUUGACAGCCGAAUUUGAGAUUGAACUUCGCAAAUUAGCAGCCUUGUCUUCAGGCUCUAGAACCCAAGAGGCCGAGAAUUGUUCCUUCCUCGGCCGCAAUCGCAAGACACAGAAGUCAGCAGCGCGCUCAACGCAACAUCAUCAAAUUUACUCCUCGGCCGAGCUCGGCCGACGAGUUGGCACGCCCCGCAAUCACCGAAGGACGUAGUUAGCUUAGAAAAAUACUCGGCCUGCGCGCCACGUAGGCUUGGUAGAUUCUAGGGUCAACAUUUUGGCACGCCCAGUGGGACCCAGUGCUAAAACUACGAAGUUCAUGCCAAUUGAAACGCGAUCGGUAAAAAGAAAACAGCUAUGGGAAAAUCAACAGCCGAUUUACCGAUUCAGAACGUAGGACAAAGUGUGCCACAGGCGCAGAAUCCCCUUAGCGCCGGGACACCUGAGUCCACAAGUGCGACUCGCCGAGAAAGGGAAGUUAAUCUCGGCGGUCAACACCGCAGUCUAGAAAUCCCUAACAGGAACACUUGUGUUCUCAAUGAAGGGAUAGUGGAGGAUUGCGACGAGGAUGGCGGUGAAGGAUCUGACCCACCAACAAGGUCGUUUCUUCGAAAGCGACUCGACGAGCAGUCUCGGUCAGUUGAGCAGACGUUUAGCCGAGGUAUUGACAAGCUACAUGACGUGAUACUCAAUUCCACUGAGCAGCAAACCAGACUGCUCGAAAUGCUGGUUAGUAAAUUCAGUGACGGCAGGCCUUUCGAUCCUCUCCAGCGCUUGCCACCAAGAAAUAAUCCGUUACCAAUGGUACAGGCCGAGCCAAUUCCUGCUCGGCCCAAACCAAUUGACUUGGAAAAGGUCGGAGGGUCAAAUAGUAGGUCGGACGGAAUCAACCAGAGGGUCGAAGCAACACCUGUUGAUAUGACCGAGGUUCAGCGGAUGAUCGACUCGGCCAUGAAGAAAGGGCCGAAGUUUCCUAAGUUUAUCCAUCCGUACCCGGCCUACAUAGAAACGUUCGGAUAUCCGAAAGGUUUCAAGAUUCUGGAUUUUAGCCUUUUUGCCGGUGAAUCGUCCUUGUCUUCGUUGGAGCACGUGGCUCGUUUCACCGCGCAAUGCGGCGAUGUUCAUAGUGAUUUCCAUAAAUUACGGCUGUUCAACUUCUCGUUGACCGGCUCGGCAUUUGCUUGGUAUAUCAAUCUCCCUCCUAAUUCCAUCCAAAAUUGGGAGGAGUUGGUCGAGAAAUUCCACGAGCAGUUUUAUCGACCAGGGUUGGAGGUGUCGGUUUCUUCAUUAGCAAGGAUGGCUCAGGCAUCAGAUGAGUCCCCAAUGGAUUAUCUUACCAGGUUCAAAUCAGCCAGGAAUUGGUGCCGAGUACCCUUGCCCGAAGUCGAGUUCGUCCGGCUUGCUUUGAACGGCCUCGACGUCGAAUACAAAAAGAAAUUCUUGGGGGCAAAUGUUCGGGAUAUGUAUGAAUUAGCCCAACAUGUCGAACAGUAUGAUUAUUUGCUCCGCGAGGAAAAGAUUUCGAAAACUCCGUCUCGGGGGACGAUUUACAAGAAUCCUACCGUCAGUUAUGCGUCAACCGAGGAUGAAUGCGUUAGUGUGGAUGCGGCUGAGAUAGUAAUAGAUAAGCCAUACGUUUGCAAGGCCUUGACUCAAGUUGACUCCAGGGAAGUCAAAAGCCGCUCGGCCACUGAAGGAACAUUGAAAUCGUCAAAAGUGUAUACUUUUGAUAUUACAAAGGCUGACGCAAUUUUUGAUCAACUGUUGUCAGCAAGGAUCAUCAAACUUCGGCCUGGUCACAACAUUCCCAAGGCCGAAGAGCUUAAAGGAAAGGUGUAUUGCAAAUACCAUAAUUCAAGUAAACAUACGACAAACAAUUGUGUCGUAUUUCGAGACAACGUCCAGAGCUGGAUUGAUAAUGGAAAACUGAAAUUUCCAGAGAAGAAGAUGAGUAUUGAUGCUGAUCCUUUCCCCACAGCAACCGUGAAUAUGGUCGAUGCAUACCUACCUAAGGACAAAGGAAAAGGGAAGGCCGAAGUUGUUGCGACGCAAGACUUUCGUACUCAGAAUUCUCGGCCACGUUUCAUGGCCGAUUUUCGUUCGAACAAACCACCUACAGCUUUAACAGGACCUGCUAUUGUUAAACCUAUGAGGGAUUAUAGCACCGAUGAAGAUAGUGGGACGGCGGUUUUUUGCAGUAAAUGUAGAGCGAAGGUCGGCAGUGAGCCAGAGAAGAAACCAUCUUCGCCUAUCACAGAACGACCUACGGCCGCAAUUCAGCAAAAAGCAGCCGGCGUCGGCCGACACCAAGGGGUUUUUGAUAGGCUCGGCCCAAAAGUGAAGAUGGAAGAGACAUCCUCAGUCAGGCGGCGCCUUGAUUUUGGCGCUUCAUUUUAUGACGAGGACUAUUAUACGCGUAAUUCUGGUAGUUCGGAAUCGUCGCGGAGUCAAAAAACCUUCAAACCUCCCGAGCCUAAAGAUCAACGUUGGUACACGUAUCAUUCUUCGAAAGGCGUCUACACCGCGUUGUCCAAAUCCCAGAAACGCCGGCACCAGAGGAUAGAUUGCAUGGCCCGUCGGCAGGCAGCCCAAGAAACUUCGGCCCCUAAAUGGCGGCCGAAGGACACAGUUGCUACUGGUGAUGAACGACCAUCUCCAGCUAUUAUGACAGAGUUGGGUCAGGGGAAACGGUUGGUCGACCGAGAUAUCGAGACCACGUUCGAAGAAGCCGAUAAACGGAUCAAACUUCUUCUUCGCCCAGGGGAGAUGAAGGCACGCCUCGAGCAUUUCAGGCAAGAGACCAAGAGCAAAUUAGCCCAGCCAGCUAUACAAGAACCGUUGAUUAAAAUUCGACGGAAUUUGCAUCCACCAUUCCUUGGGGAGGCUUUAGAAUAUAUGCGCGAAUUCCAUAAGAAACAUUCGGCCAACGAUCUGUAUGGUUUGCCGAAAGCAUGCCAGGACACCAUUGAUCUAGUCCUGACUUGUCCGGACGCCGAGCGCGUCAUCCAGAAGACCUCUGACCCGGGAUUGAAGGCAAGGUUCCAGCACAUACGAGAAGCCUGUGUCCUUGGAUUUGAAGUCGACCCAUACACUGAUAUCGUUGCAGCCGACCUUCCUUUCUCAAUGGAGGAUCUUCAGUAUUUACGAUAUCACUUCGAAGUAUUUUCGGCGGUUUCUCUCUUCGGCCUCACGACCGAUGAAGUAGCACGUGUUGCACGUCUGGAUGCUUAUCUCGAUACCAGAGAUGCCCGGCUAUACUACCAAGAGCAGGUGCAGGUCCUGACCCCAAGCACACUGUCGAUCUCAACCUCGCCUGCGGCGGUCACACAGAACCAACAAGCUGCCGAAGCAGCACCGCAGGUUCGAACCCUCGAAGAAGGGACAGAGGAGUCUUUUUGUCCAACUCUGACAAAAACAGAGCCCGCAGUCAUCGACCAAACGAGGGAUGAGGUUAGCAAGGAGGGUCCCAACCCGAUGGGCCCGUCAGUCUUGGAUAACAUGGAAAUUAGUAUGGUCCAUGUGUUACCUGCUGAUUUUCAAUCAAGCACGGCUCAACCGAAUUUCCUCGAUGGUGAUGUAGUCGCCGAGGAAACUGGCCAUGUGGAUUUUUGUGUCUAUUGCUGAAGAUGAGUCAACAACGAAAGAUGACAGUCUGAAGGCCGCUUUGACCGAAUUAUUUCCUCGUUCGUCAUCGGCCGCACUCCACCAUUUAAAGCCAUUGUAUGUGACGGCCCACAUCGAGGGAUAUCCCGUUUUCUCAAGUUUUUGUCGACUGUGGCGCGACCGUCAAUAUCCUGCCUCUGAACAUCAUGAAGGCCUUGCGUCGCUCGAACGAGAACGAUGAAACUUAUUCCGUCAGGGAUCACAAUGAGUAGUUUCGUCGGCGACAAAUCGCAAACCAAGGGUGUACUUCCGUUAACUGUGACUAUUGCCGGUCGCACUCACAUGACCGCUUUUUUUGUAGUUGAUUCCAAAACCGAGUAUAAUGCACUGCUCGGUCGAGAUUGGAUUCAUCAAACCAGUUGUAUUCCUUCCUCAUUGUAUCAAGUGCUUGUUUUUUGGGACGGCAAAUCGGUCACUGUUCACCCAGCCGAUAACCAGCCCUUUGAAACUAACAUGAUCCAAGCACGGUAUUAUGAUGACCACGUCGGCUACAUUACUUUGCAAGGCUUCAAUGAUGAAGGCCGGCCGACUCGGAUUUCUGUUCAGAAAGCUAUCGAGGUUGGCGCCGAGACUGUCCAGCAGGAUUCGGCGAGACUCGGAUUAGCUAACUUUCUCCCCGAAUCCGAUGUUUGACGCCGAUCGGGAAGCACGUAGGGCCGCGGUUUCAUCUACUAUGGAACGACUGCUGGCCCAUUGGUAUACGAUAUCCAAACAACCAAAUUCGGGUGUCAACCUCGUCGAGUUCCUUGCUGAGGGAGAUAAUGGGCCUGUGUUAUCUUUUGAUAAAAUUCGAGCCGCCCCGUCCAAGCUCGAAGAUCAUCGGCCCCUUGUCAAGGACCCUUUGGAAGAAAUUAAUGUUGGGACGGCCGAGGACCCACGGCCUUUGUUUAUUAGUGCUUUACUUCCCCAACAAAUGAAAGAUGAGCUUCGUGCCUUGCUUACGGAGUUCAAAGAUUGCUUUGCUUGGAGUUAUCAUGAAAUGCCCGGCUUAGAUCGUGCUUUGGUCGAGCAUGAAUUACGUAUUAAGCCCGGAUUCAAGCCUUUCCGUCAGCCACCUCGUCGAUUCUCGACCGAAGUACAACUCAGUGUUAAGGACGAAUUAGUUCGGCUUUUGAAAGCCGGGUUCAUUCGGACAGCUCGAUAUGUCGAAUGGUUGGCGAAUAUUGUUCCUGUAUUAAAGAAAAGUGGUGCACUGCGCAUCUGUACCGAUUUUCGCAAUCUGAAUCUGGCAACGCCCAAAGAUGAGUAUACAAUGCCGAUUUCAGAUCUGUUAAUCGAUGCCGCGGCGAAUCAUGCGAUCUUAUCUUUUCUGGAUGGACAUGCCGGAUAUAACCAAAUAUUUAUUGCCGAAGCCGAUGUGCACAAAACUGCUUUCCGGUGCCCGGGGGCACUCGGCACUUACGAAUGGGUUGUCAUGCCAUUCGGCCUCAAGAAUGCCGGCGCCACAUACCAACGGGCGAUGAACACCAUCUUCCAUGAUUUAAUUUGCACCAUCGUCGAAGUUUAUAUCGACGAUGUUGUCGUCAAAUCUAAACGCCGACAGACACAUCUGGACGAUCUCCGACAGGCUUUUCUCCGUAUGCGUCAGCACAACCUCAAGAUGAAUCCUGCCAAGUGUGCCUUCGGUGUAUCGGCCGGGAAUUUUCUUGGUUUCCUCGUACAUCAUCGGGGGAUUGAAGUCGAUGAGAACAAGGCACGCGCAAUCAUCACCGCCCCACCCCCAACAACGAAGAAACAAUUACAGUCCUUACUCGGCCAGAUCAAUUUUUUACGCCGAUUUAUUGCUAAUUCGGCAGGUAAAAUGAAAGCCUUUUCCACACUUUUGAAGCUCAAGGACUCCGAUACGUUCAUGUGGAAUGAGGAGCACCAGGCGGCGUUCACACAGAUCAAGGUUUCCCUUACAAACCCACCUGUCCUGGUCCCUCCUCAGCGCGGUAAGCCUCUCAAGCUGUACAUUUCGGCGGCCGCCGAGUCCAUCGGUUGCCUCCUCGCGCAAGACAAUGAUGCCGGCCGGGAACAGGCUAUCUUCUACCUCAGCCGUAAUCUGAGUCCUCCGGAGAUCAAUUAUUCCGCCGUUGAGAAGCUCUGUCUCGCCGUGUUCUUCGCUGCAUCCAAGCUUAGGCAUUACAUGCUCCCGUCGGUCACCCAAGUCAUUGCCCAGACCGACGUUAUCCGGUACAUGCUUACCCGGCCAAUUGUGAAGGGCCGAAUUGGGAAAUGGACGAUGGCGUUGUCCGAGUUUAGUUUGCAAUACGUGCCGCAAAAAGCUGUGAAGGGACAGGCGUUGGCCGAUUUCCUUGCCCAGCACCCUUCGCCUUAUGAUUUCGGGGGUGCUGAUGUUGAGAUUGGCAUGGUGGUGACCCGCGACAACUAUUGGACGAUGUAUUUCGAUGGUUCCAGUACUUCGUCCUCGGCCGGUGCAGGCAUCGUCAUUCAGUCUCCUCACAACGAUCGUUGGUAUUUUUCGCUCAAAUUGGAUUUUGACUGUACCAAUAAUCAGGCCGAGUACGAGGCUCUGGUCAUUGGUCUAGGCCUCCUUCUUGACCUACAUGCCACUCGUGUCCUCGUCCGCGGGGAUUCUGAACUAGUAAUUAACCAAAUUAAUGGGUCUUUUCGCUGCAUGAGUUGUACUCUGGCGCCUUACCACAUGAUCGCCAGCUAUUUGGCCGAGUCCUUUGACGGCAUUACAUUCGAGCAUAUUUCUCGGGGUCAUAAUACCGACGCAGACGAGUUGGCUCAAAUCGCCUCCGGUGCACAACUCCUGGGGGGCAAGCUAGGCCGGGAGAUACCAAUAUUGCAACAAUUAUACCCGGCCUUGGUUGAUCAGCAAAUCCUCCGUCGAGACAAUGUGAUACGCACCAGGGUCAUGUCCUUGCCUUCGUUGUUGGAUCGGCAGGACCAGGACUCUAUAGAAAUUUGCGCGGCCGAGGCAGUACCAGAUGAUUGGAGAAAGCCCAUUAUGCAGUACCUUGACAAUCCUAACGGAAAACACAGUCGCAGGACACGGGCUCACGCCACGAACUAUGUCACGUACCAGAGCGAGUUGUACCGAAAGGGCGAAGAUGGUUUGUUAUUGCUAUGCCUCGGCCCUCAAGAGAGUGCUCGAGCGAUCGCAGAGGUUCAUGAAGGGGUAUGCGGAGCUCACCAGUCUGGACGAAAAAAUGCGAUGGCUACUCCGACGACACGGUUAUUUUUGGCCGAGAAUACUGAAAGAUUGUAUCGAGUUUGCACGAGGAUGCGUGCAGUGCCAAAUCCAUGGGCCUAUACAAAGGGUCCCGGCCGAAUCGCUACAUUCGGUCAUUAAGCCGUGGCCGUUUAGAGGAUGGGCCAUGGACGUAAUCGGCAAAAUCACGCCGACUUCUGGAGCUGCUAGGCAUGCAUGGAUAAUAGUCGCAACUGAUUACUUUACUAAGUGGGUCGAAGCAAAAUCAUAUGCCGAAUUAACGUCUAAAGAAGUUUGCGAUUUCGUGGAGGAACACAUUGUGACCCGGUUCGGUGUGCCAGAAACGAUCAUAACCGACAAUGGAACAAUCUUCACAGCUGAAAGGUUUAAGGAAUACACGGCCAAUUUGAAAAUUCGGCUGGAACAGUCCACACCGUAUUAUCCACAGGCGAAUGGGCAGGCCGAGGCAAGUAAUAAAGUGUUGAUUGGCAUCCUCGAAAAAAUAAUAAAAGAGAGGCCUGGCAUGUGGCAUUUGAAGUUGAACGAGGCAUUAUGGGCAUACCGAACGUCGUCCCGAUCGGCGACUGCAACAACCCCGUACGCAUUGACUUACGGACACGAUGCGGUGCUACCAGUCGAGUUGAGCAUAAAUUCGUUGCGAUUAAUUGAACAAAGUAGUUUGUUUAGCGCCGAAUAUAAUCAGUCCAUGAGACAGGAACUAGAAGAUUUGGAAGAAGCGCGACUUGACGCUUAUAACUUACUGGUAGCACAGAAACAGAUUGCCGAGCGAGCCUAUAACCAAAAGGUACGACAGAAAACGUUCGGCGAGGGUGAAUUGGUGUGGCAAACGGUGUUGCCCGUAGGAAUAAAAGAUCCUAGGUUCGGCAAGUGGUCGCCGAAUUGGGAAGGGCCGUUCAUUGUGCAUAAGGUAUACGGUAAAGGGGCGUAUCAUCUCAAAGACCGGACUGGAGUAGUUCACAAAUUACCAAUUAAUGGGAAAUUCUUGAAGAAAUACUAUCCGGUCACAUGGGAAAUGCGUGAAUAAAAAGUUUGUUGUAGGAAAAGUCAUUCCAUUAAAAUUGACAGGUAUUACAAAAAUGAGUAGGUCUAAUAUAUUCAAGGAGACGAGGGAAGAAGAGUGCUGAGCAGAGCUUUCAAUUCCAACCACCGCACGUCGGCCAUGAUGACUUCGGCUUGCCGAUUCUUUUUGUCUAGCCUCAGGCGCUCGACCCGCUUUUUGGCCGCCGCAUACUCAGUUAGGCGAUCCUUCCCGCCUGACUCGAAGUCCCUCGCAAGUUCAGAAGCAAUGACCGACCGGCGUUUUGUUAGUUCGGCCAUCUGACGGUCGAGCUCGGCUAACGCUUCUCCUUUUGCCCGUAGAUCGUCAAUCUUCGGACGGAGGGUGUCUUGAACGGCCGUGGCGGCUUGCAGGUCCUGUUCGGCCUUCAGAGCAGUCUGGAAGAUGCCAAAUGUCUCCCGAACGCGCUCCAAAGCAGACGAUGCCCGAACAAUGGCAUCUCCGCUUAGGCGACCGUCGGCCCCAAGGUCGUUCAGACACACGCCGAGCAGAUCAAGACCGUUGCGCUCAAGUACUUGCGAUGAAGAGAGCGACAGGACUUCUCGCAACUGGGUUAGGGCGCUUGGAUCGGCAGCCUCAGUUGGAGCGACCGAAGGGCCGGACUCUGCAGUCGUACUGGAGAGGAGAGCUUUGAAUUCAACCUCCCAUGAAGCCUGCACGAAUAAACAAGGUUAAGCUUAAAGGAAGUCAUGACAAGAAUAGCAAGAAGGUGUCGUUUUUUAACCUGCUGAGAGGAGACCUCGGCCAUGUCCCCAGGGUCGUUGCUCGAACCUAAAGAACUCAAUGGCCGAGCCCAGUGUCUCAGAUUGCUUCUCACUUCACGAGGCCGAUGGAAGUUAUCUACGUUUGAUGGCCACACUGAGGCGGCCAGGAAAUAUAGAUAACGCCCUUCGGCGCAUAGAAUUGACGGUGAAAAGAAUGUACAGGCACCUGACAUUUAGUUUUUCCUUGUUUAGAAUUCUAAAGCAGAAAAGCAAUCAGGAGGAAAAUUGAAGGUACUUACAAAAGCCGAGGUAACCUCUUGUGGAGGGAUGUGGAAGCCUUGGUCUUGAGGAUGGAUCGGCGAUUCCGCCGUGGCCUCGGGUUCCUCGAGCAGGCGUUUGCCACGGUCGGCUGCCGAUGGGCCGAUUGGCGCAGCUGCUUCAGUGGAGGCAGGGACGCCCUGGUCUUGAGAAGGAACGAGAGGUUCGGCCGCCGGGGUCGGUUCCUCGACCGUGUGUUUGCCACGAUUGGCCGAGGAGGGGCCGGGUUGAACCGCCAUCUCGGAUACUGGAAGAGUUCGUUGACGAGUAGGAGGACGACGCGCCAGCGGGACCUCGUCGCUCCCCUCACUCUCUUCCAGCACGAAGACCGUGGGCUUUGGAUUCUUGGGAGAGUUUUCCUCGGUCGUAGGAACCGCCUGGUGUGAGACAGGUGCCUUCUCGACAGAGGGAGGUACGACUGAUUCGCCGGCCACAGAAGCAGGCCGCAUUGGGAUCGUCUCUAUGGCCGAAGCCGGUUGUUUCUUGACCCCAGAAUGGCCGGCGGCGGGAGAAGGGGAAGCACUGGGAGUCGUCGUGUGGCUGGAAAUAACGUGGAUCUCCCGUGCACCUUUCUUCGCCAGUUGCUUGACCCGCUUGGCAGGCGGGGAAGGCUUGAUAGCCGGCCCGACCUCUUGGCGAGGCCGUUUGGUCAGCCCGGCCCUACCAGCAGGUUUGUCUUUUUUGGCCACGACCGAUUUUUUCCCGGCCAUAGCAGCGGCAACUACCUCUGUCUUUCUCAAAGGCCGACUACCUAAAAGGAUAAAGACAAUUCAGUAAGGCGUACAACAGGCAAGGUUGAAGAAAAAGGGGGAAUUGAACAACUACCUUGAGAAUGGGGGGCCGGGGCUUUCUUAGGUCGGUUACCGAAGAGCCUGUUUAGUACAUCCUCGACCGGCGUACCGAAGAACUCUUGAGUGUAAUUUUCCCACCACUCACCGAAGGUGUCAGUGCAAUGGGUUUCUGGGGUGGCCGGUCGUAGGCGAAAUCUUUGGCAGUACUCUUCAAACUCCUUCGCGGCAGUCCUGCACUCGUUCUCUGAAGAGCGAGGCUCGCGUCCGCGGCUCAAUACUGUGCGGGAAGAGAGAGAAGGGGGACGGGACAGCCCUGAAGAUAGCCGAGCUGACGGGCAAGGAAGUUCGGAUGGUACACUUCCCACCCCGACCGUUUCCCGUCGCAGCCGAGAGAGGAAGGUCGCGAGCAAGCACGAACGACCCCCAGGUACGGCGAAGAGCGGCGUCCUCCUCUGCCGCCCACGUAGAGGUAGGCAGUUUGAUGGAGGGGGGGUAAUCACGACGACGACAAAUCAGGAAUUCGUCGCUUGUGAGAUCGUCAAGGGCAAAGAGGUACCUAAACACCUCUUCGGCCUGAUGAGGAGGCGUUGGUCGGGAGGCUAGCUGAGGACCAAGAGCCUCUGUUGCUGAGAAAAUCAGCUAUAGCCGGCCGAAGGGAGGCGAAGUACACCUGCAACCAGAGCUGGAAGACCCAGAGAGGGCCAUUCUGGUGGGGAUCCACCGUGUGGAGAGUCGCCUCGGCCAGGCAACGGAAGAGGUGGGCAAGAAUAUUAGAACUCAGCGCCAGGACGCGACCACUGGCCAGGGCUUCGGCCACUGGCAUAUUCUCGACCAAACAUUUGUUUGAUUUGGUACAACAAAUGUAUUUUAUUGUACCAGUAGAAGAGGAAGGCUUCAUGCUCUCCUUCUCGCAGGUCCUCUUCCCCUCGACCGGCGAAGUGAAGGUAGAGGGUGUUGUAGUUGAGAAAGUUCUUGUGGAGCUUCUGUAUUUCAUCCCUCGACGGGAUGUGACCGUCACUAUUCAGGGUCUCGAAGGCUCGACGGUCGAAGAGCGUCUUCAGAUCGAUAUUCGACGGGUGCCCGGAGAGGGUCGCGUCGAUAGGGAUCCCGGUGGCCGAGGUCCCCAAAAUGGCGGUGAUGUCCAGGAUGGUGGGACCAAUGGGACCAAGGGGAAGGACCAUUGUGUUGGUGGCUGAGCACCAGAAGCAUAGAGCGGCUAGGAGCAGCUCCUUGUCAGGGACAAUGUCCAUUGACGAAAGGAGGAUGGCGUCGUAGAUGCCCAGGAUUUUCCAUUUUUCGCCGAAGAGCCGUUCCAUUCGGACAACCCAGGUCGCCCAGGUGGUGGUCGUCGAGGGCCAGGAGCCUUGGGGCUUUGCCGCCUCCCAUCUCGACCAUUCGAACCCUUGGAGCAAGGGUGUAAGGCAGUGUUCCUGGAGAAGACCAGUGAUGGUCGGGGCGGAUUGUUGCCUUGAAGAGAGGACCCAGGAUUUGGUGGGACGGUGCUCAUGUCGUUCUCGAACCGUAUAUUCUUGAUCGAGCUCCGAUCAAGGAUCUUCUGAUGCUGGGUCGCAUUCCCGGGAAAGCUUGGAGAUGAAGGAGGCCAUUGUAAAAGCACAGCGUAAGGAGGUUUUUUGGGUUGGGGAUUUGAGGACGAAAGCUUGGAAUGGAGGAAUGCACUUGAGAGCAAGAGUAGGGGAUUUCAGGAAGUUUGAGAACGUAAAGUACAAAUGAGGAAAUUUCGGUAUUUAUAGAGUAAUGGGAGGAGAGAGCAAUCGUUCGAAAUUCAAAAGCAAAGGGCAAAAUCGACCGGAGGAAUCGUUGAUCAUGAUGAGCAUUUGGGGAAUGCGGUUGAGAAGACCGACGGUUUUAGGUUUUGGGGGCGCACGAUCGCGCGUGUGACGGCGAAGUUAAUGACGAAAGACGGUUCGACGCCUGCACGAUGACAGGAGGGCUCACGGACUGAUGAAAUGGCUCGCGGAUUGAGAUAGUGGUCAUAAUGACGAGACGGUUCGGGCAGGCGCACGCUUCAGACGUCAUUAUCAGGGAUUGGCCAUGUUAGGGGAUGCCACGUGGCGAGUGGUUUAGCAGGAUCAAGAUCGUCGUGCGAUCAUGUUCAAUAAAUGCGCCUUGGAACUCGGGUAUUGGGAUCCUGAGUGGUAGAUUCGCUUCUUCAAGGCCGAAACUCGGCCGAAGGUUUCAGGCCGAGGACCUCAAAAGCGAGGGGGCAAUGUUUGGGCCCAAAAUAGCAGUUUGGGCCGAGGGAGGUAUCACUUUCGGCCCGGGAAGACUACGGCGAGAAAGUCAUGGGGGCUUCAGCUCAUGGGCUUCUAGGCCUAGGUCGGUUAAAUCAGAAUGCAAGUCGAGUCCUAAUACAAUAGGGACCCUCGACGAGAUCAGUAAAACUAGAAGGCGAAUCCGGCUCAGUUAAGGACUAGAUUCGUAGUCCUAGCAGAGGUAGGACUGAUUGAGGUAACGUUAAUCCGGAGAAGGAAACCUAGUUCGAAUAGGAUUAGAACUCGGGCUCGGUGUUCUGCUUCUAUAAAUACAAGACAUUCAGCAAUGGAAAAAGCCCACAAAAAUCAAUACAAAAUUGCCCUGCGCAAACUCUCACAACUUGAGAUCUUUUUCUUUUCCUUUUUCGCUGACACAUCUUCCGUUGGCAUCAACAGCACUGUGGAAGCAACCGGUGAUAUCUUAAGUCGGCAUAGAUAGCUCUGUCACCGUAGAGUCGGUCGGUCUCGCAGUAUCUUCCGUUGGCAUCAACAGCACUGCGGCGAGAACGGUCGAUUGCCUAUCCAAGUCUCGGUCGAGAAGGGUUUUCGAAUCCUUGUUGGUCGAGGUCAUCUCAUUAGCCUUCUCGGCGAGGUGAGGUGUUACCAGGUUACUGUAUUCGGCACAUUGACAGCCGAAUUUGAGAUUGAACUUCGCAAAUUAGCAGCCUUGUCUUCAGGCUCUAGAACCCAAGAGGCCGAGAAUUGUUCCUUCCUCGGCCGCAAUCGCAAGACACAGAAGUCAGCAGCGCGCUCAACGCAACAUCAUCAAAUUUACUCCUCGGCCGAGCUCGGCCGACGAGUUGGCACGCCCCGCAAUCACCGAAGGACGUAGUUAGCUUAGAAAAAUACUCGGCCUGCGCGCCACGUAGGCUUGGUAGAUUCUAGGGUCAACACACAUACAAAUAAUUUAUCAGAUAGCUAAAAUGAAUGUAUAUUUAAGUUUUUUUAGCUCUCUCAUCAUCUCUUAGUAUCACGUAAAGACGUCAUAAACUUGUUUUAUGAUAAUUUGCUUGAUUUUGUUGCUUGAUUACCCUGAACCCUAAUACAGCUAUGCUACUAAGGGCGGAGCUACCUAAGGCCCAGAGGGGGCAUCCGCCCCCACUCCGAUUUUUGGGCGAUGGAAAAAAUUGUCAUGACAAUUAAAACAACAAUUAAAUUUUUUUUUUUGGUUCCGAAUAUUCCACGUUUUCUAACCUAAAUCAAACUCAAUUGAACUGGGGGUUUCAUAAAUAGAUUGGAUUCAACCGAUGAAGUAUCAUAACUUGAUAUAAAAAAUUUACCCUGUAAAGUAUUUUAUAUGAAUUUACUUCAUCCAUUCGUUUGUGGCAUUACAAUUUAAAAUUUAACUUUUUAAUUUAGAGAUUUUUCAUUGUACCUGACCCUCAACAACUUAACACCAAUUAUUUUACUUGGUUGUUUUAGGACGCCCCCAGUCAAAAACAUUUCUAGCUCCGCCCUUGUAUGCUACCUGUAAUUUGUAUACAAAAUUGUUCGGGGGCUCAUAACAUUUGAAAAGGCUUAAGGUAGAAUGAAGUUCAGUGCAGAGAGAAGCAUCUCUAGCAGAUGUUGAGAAAUUGAAAUGAUGCAUGCCAACUCAUCUUUGGCACUUGGCUAGGGACAAAACGAGCCGUCGUUGUAGGACUGAAAACAUCUUUGAGUCGUAAUAAAAUAAGAGAAGGGCUCGGUCUUAUGUUCAGGGGCGUUGGAAGAGCGUAAGGUGCAAUCGCAUAGACCCGAAAUUUGAACAAGUUUAUUAAGAUAUUUGCUAUCUAAUAUUUGUAAGUAAUAAUGUUAAGGAUUAAUCUCAAUUUAUUACUUUGAAGAUUUUUUUGUUUUCAACAUUUAGUACAUCAAGUUUUUUUCAUCUUGAAAUAGUACUUGAAGUCAAAAUUUUGGAAUAGUUUUAUACAUCUGUUAAGGUUGUUGUUAAAUUGGCUAUUAACUGAUGACAUGGUGUCCAUGUGGACAAUGACUGGACACCACAUGGAUAUUAAAAAAAUUUAAAAAUUAAAAAAAAAAACAAAACAAAAAUUAGAAGAGAAAUAUCUCCUCUCUCCCUUUAAUCUCCACCAUCAAGAGGAGAGUGUCCACCAGCUCUGCCGCUACACCCUUGCCAACCCACACAUCCCUUCCUUUUUCCUUUCCCCUCUCUCUCUCUCCCACUUUUUUCUGUUUUCUCCUCUAUAGUUUCUCGUUCAGAACCCUAAAACUGAAGACGAAGUAGCAAGAGCUCCUGAUGGUGGAGAUCCAAGGGCGAUGGUGACCGAGAACUUGGCGGCGCGUUCAAUUAGAGUGAGCUUGUAGGGAAAUUUAGGCCAAAAUUGAAAGGGGGUUGCUGGACGUAGGCCGGAAUUGAAAGGGGGUUGUUGGAGAUGGGUUUGAGGCCUGAUAAUUUUAGCCUUGUUCAGGUUUUAUCUGCGUGUGGGAGGUUAGGGGAUAUAGGCAGUGGGGAAUGGAUUGAUGGAUACGUAACGUAGAUGGGUAUAGGGAAGAAUGUGUUUGUUGCUACCUCUUUAGUUGAUAUGUAUACCAAAUGCGGAAAUAUGGAGAAAGCUCGUCGCAUCUUUGAUGUGAUGCCCGAGAAGGAUAUAGUUUCUUGGAGCAGCAUGAUUAAGGGAUAUGCAUCAAAUGGGUUUCCUAAAGAAGCCAUAGACCUCUUCUUUCAAAUGCAGGAGGAGAAUUUGAAACCCAAUUGCUAUGCCAUGGUCAGCGUACUUUUUGCUUGUGCAAGAUUAUGAGCGCUCGAAUUAGGGGACUGGGCUAGCAAUUUGAUGGAUAAAGCUGAAUUUUUCACUAACCCAGUUCUUAGUACAUCUCUAAUUGAUAUGUAUGCGAAAUGCAGGAACAUGGUCCUGGCUUGGGAAGUCUUUUAAGGUCAUUUCCAACCAAAGGGUCCAGAGGGUCAGAUGGUCAAAAAUAGUCCGAAAAUCGUCUACAACUAAGGGCUAUGCCAGAGGGCUCGUGGGCCCAUGAAAUCUGAAAGGGCCAAAGGGUUGGCCACAAACAGCUAGCCAACCAAAAAUUCAUAGCAAUCCUGUCAGUUAUAACUGACAGGAGUAUAUUUAAUAUAUUUAAUAUAAAUAUAUUCCUAUCGAUUAUAACCGACAUAAUUGCUUAAAGAAAAUUUUGAAUCCAACGGCUAGCUGACGUCAGCUAGCCGUUAUUUUUUAAUAUUAUUUUUUACAGUUUUAUUUAUUUACAAAAUUUUUCCUAUAACUUCUUUUUUUUUUUUCUAUAAAUUCUAUUUUACAAAAUUUGUUUCAUAUUUUUUUUAAAUUAUUAUUUUUUUCCUAUAACUUCUAUUUUACAAAAUUUGUUUCCUAUUUUUUUUUUAAAUUCCAUUUUUACUAUAACUUCUAUUUCACAAAGUUUGUUUCAUAUUUGUUUUAAAUUCUUUUUUUUUUCCUAUAACUUCUAUUUUACAAAAUUAGUUUCAUUGUUUUUUAAAUUCCAUUUUUUCCUAUAACUUCUAUUUCACAAAAUUUGUUUCAUAUUUUUUUAUUAAAUUCUAUUUUUUUCCUACAACUUCUUAAGUCAUUAUACAACAUUAAAUUAAAUUAAGUAACAUGAAACAACAUUAAAUAACAUCAACCAAUAUAAAAAUUAUACAACAUAAAAAAAACAUUUAACAACAUGAAACUUAAACAACAUUUUUAAAAACAUUUAACAACAUAAAACUUAAACGCAUACUCCAUGCUUCUUUUGGCCCAAAGAUAUGUCACAAGAUCCUGUUAUAGGUACUUGUUUGUAGCACAAUAACGUAUUAUUCUAUAGCGCCGCAUGUACUCAUUUAUAGAGAUACUAUCAGUUCUUGGAUUGAAAGGAAAAUUAGGUCCAUCAUAUAUUUUUGCACGAGCCCUUCUUGACCUAUUUGGAUCUUCUUGGUCGUUAUCGGACCCUUCAUCAAUAUACCCAUCUCACUUGUAGAUGCAAUUUCUUCCUCCUUGAUCUUGGACAAGUUUGCACCUACAAAACAAUUAACACCUUAAGUUAAGGCCAAGAGCCUCACGCGCCCACGAUGAAUGGGGAGGCUUUGGCCGAUGAACCUCCGAUGCCAAAGUUAGAAUUUAGAGAAAAAUAGUGUUUAGAGAAUUUUGGAAUUUUUGCCAAAGUGUUGGAAUGAUUUUUUGGUGAAAUGGGAGCCUAUUUAUAGGGCUAGGUAGGGGUGGAUUUUUUUGCCAACUUGCCAUGCCAACCGAAUUGCCAACCGUGCCAUAUCGAUUUUGUGCCAAUUUUUUGUACCAAUCGGUAAUGGUAUGGUAUUGUACCAUACCAAAAUUUCAUGGUACGGUAUUGUACCGUACCAAAAUUUCAUGGUACGGUAUUGGUAAUGGAUACCAUUACCACGGUAUUACCGUACCAUACCGAAAAUACAAUAUAAUUUAUAAUUUAUAAUUUAUAUAAUACAUAAUUAUAUAACACAUAUUUAUAAUAUUCCAAUAAUUUGAAAAUAAAACCCUACUUAUAUUAGCAUUGUUGUUGGUGACUUUGAUCUCUUAAAAUUGUGGAAAUCAAACACAAAAGAGUUCCUAAUUCUUUCACAAAUAACCAAAAUAUCUUUGUAACCCCCACUUCUACUAUUGCUAGUGAAAAUGCAUUUAGUCUAGGGAGGAGGGUUGUGAACCCAUUUAGGGUAUCAUUGACUCCUAAAAUAAUGGAGGCACUAGUGUGUACUAGUGGUUGGCUUAGGGCAGGUGAAGUAAACUUCUACAAGGACCAACGGAAGAUAUGCUUCAAUUUUACAAGGAAAUAGAAGAAGAGAAAACAAGAAAGAUAUGCUUUAAUUUUUUUAGUAAAUUUGUUAUUAAAUGGUUUUCAACUUUAAUUCUUCUUGCUACUAAUUAAUAUGUUUUCUUUGUUUGUAAUGUAGGCUUGACACAAACUCAAUCUUCUACAAGUUCAAUGCCUCAUCCAAAAGCUUCAACAUCUCAAGCUUGAAUAACUGAUCAAUGAAUUCUCCUUUUUGAAGUUUACUUCCAAUUUUCAUUUGGUUUGAAACUUUAAUUUCUAUUUGGAUUGUUAACUUCUAUUUGUUUUGGUUCGUAACUUCUAUUUGGAUUGUAAGCUUAAUUUUCAUGAUGAAUCUUGAUGCUUCAUUUGAAUUAUUAUGUGCGUGAAUUGUGAAUGAUGAAUAAUAGAUGAAUUUAAUCUAUAAUGUAUGAGAUAAAGGUACAAAAAAAAAGUUUUGCCCUUGAAUUGGGUUAAAAAAACAAAAACAUAUUUUGUCCCAAAACAAAUUGGCAAUUACCAUUGCCAUACCAUGCCAACCAAACUUUUGGCAAUACCGAACUUCGGUAUACCGAAAGUUUGGUACGGUAAUGAUAAUAGAUUUUACCAAACCGAAAGUUUGGUACGGUAAUUGGUACAAGGGUUUUGGUACGGUAACCGUACCGAACCCAUCCCUAGGGCUAGGGUUCUUGAUUUAGGUUGAAUUUAGGAGUUAUGGAGUAAUUAGCUAAUUAAAAUAAUUCUCUAAUUAAUUGGCUAAUUAUUAUCAUAAAAGGGGAAAGAUGUGGUAAAAAAGGUAAAUGGUAUGGCUGAUUUCCUUGGUGUGGAGGAUAACCAGCCUUUAUGGUGUUGUUUGGAUAUAAUGGAUGGUUUAAUUGACAAUUAAUGGGUUAAUUAGGCAAUAAAUGUCACAGCCCGUUCCGGAUUUUUAUAUAUCGGGGACGUGAAAUGACGGAAUUACCCUUGGCGGGUAUUAAGGUAUGUGUGUGUGUGACAUAUUGGACUAAAUGCAGUCAUUCCUAAACUUUUGGAAGCAUAGUUUUAGUGGGAUUAAAAAUUGGGUUGUAAUUUAUGUGGUUAGGGAUUAAAGGAAUUGGAUUUUUUUAAAUUGUUUUGGUUGGACCACACGGGGCAUCUCCCCCUUUCUCCCCCAUGCUCUCUCUCUCUCUCUUCUCCGUUCAGUCUCUCUCUCCCUCUCGAAUUGUACGGACAAGGGUCAAUACCCUCGAACUUUCACGGAUCGACGCCAAAAAGGUAUGGUUUGUCAUCCCUUCGACCUCCUGAAUCGUUUGGUACUAGUUUUAGGACGUGAAACCUUCGAAAUCACGUGAAACCCGAACCCCCAUUUUAUGUCACUAUUCAUGCAAUCGUAAUAUGUCAAUUUUUAGGGAAUUCUAAGCUUAUAGUGAGCUUAGUGGGGUCCCAAGGAAGCUCGGAGUGCUUCGUUUGAAGGUUUUGGACGUCGGGAUCACUGGGUUCGAAUUUGACCGGUUUUCUUGGAAUUUCUCCGGUGAGAUUUUGUAGUUUUUAAAGCCUUAAAGUAGUAUAACGUGAAACUACAUGCUUAGGGCUUCAUUUUGAUAUAAAAUACGAAGAAAAUGGUUGAGAAACGACGGAGAAUAAUGAGAUUGAAAAAUCUCCAGUUUUCCGGCCACCGGAAAAACCAGUUCGACGAGUCGAGGUAGGAGACGCGCGUGGGGGGCGUGUGAGUCUGUGCCCCUCCCAGCGUGUGGGGGCUCGUGUGGCCUCAGAAAAUUUUUCUAAAAAUUUCUCGACGUCCGUGAUGUCGAGUAGGUCGAUGUGGAAUAUUCAUAUACCCAAAUUGAGCACCGUAUGAGAAGUUAUUUUGAAUUGUCGGUUAUGUGCUUAAAUUAAUGUUUUUAUAGUUGUUUCGCAUAUAGGUGACACCUAUCCCGAGGACGAGCGCAUCCAGGGACGUCACGGGGGUUACGACCCAUCGACUUACUAGUGAGUAGGCAGUUUUGUUUUUAGUAUAUACAUAUAUAUUAUUGAUUUUCCCAGAAAUUGAAUUUAUAUGAAAGUAUGUUUUCAAAUGCCAUGCAUGCAUAUUAUGAAUUAUAUGAAUUGAUAUUGAUGCAUAUAUAUAUAUAUAUAUAUGUGAAUUGGUGUUGUGGACGCACAGGUGAGUAUCAGGUGAGUUUUAUGUUACUCAUGUGAAUCAUUGAUGAUGUGAAUUGUGUUGAGAGCUCAUAACCUGCACCCCUGGUGUUAGUGCUUAUAUUAUUCACCGCACCGCACGCUCACCUUGGAUCCAAGUAGGUGCAUGUCGUAGACCAUGAGAGGGUUCCGACAUGUCAGUCGUACAGAUCACUAGAGGUGGUUCCGACUAGUAGGUGACCUUAGAUUAUGCGCGUAGAUGAUUGAUGAGAGAAGCACUAGAGCGUAUCAUUACACCAUUCUUGUCGUACAGACUACUUCAGGUAGUUCCGACUUAUGUGCAGAGUAGUGCCGUAUAGGUCACCGUGGUGACUCCAGCUGGGUUGGAUAUUGAGCUAUGGAAUUAACCGUACAGGACCAACUGCAGGGUCUCCGGUUGAUUCAUUAUGUCACCUGUUAUUUUGAUGCAUCCAUGUUUUGUUAUUGACAUUUAUGGCAUGGCAUAUUCCUGGAUUUGUGAUAGAUUGGUGAUUUGUGACGUAUGAGGUUUUAUAUACUAUUAUGUUAUUUUUUGGGAAAGUAUACAGGUUUUACAGUGAGGGGUUAGAAAUGUUUUAAAUGAAAUGUUUUGGAAAACUUUGGUUUUACUGACCCACUCAAUUUUGUUUUUGCGCCCCUCCAGGUUCCAGUUAGCAGUUGGUGGCUCACGAGGUUUUCUUUGGCAUUUUGACAGACUUCCUGCAUGUAGGACUUACCUGCGGGUGUUGUAAUUUAAUUAUAGUCCUACUUGACUACACCUAGUUUUUAUGCUAUGAAAUUGUGUACUGCACACUUAAACUCACUUUAGCAUGCUAGUUGGAUAUUACUGCUAGUAGUUGGUUUUUUAUUCCUUCGAUUUCUCAUAUCCUUUGCUUCCGCAUCACACUUUUGGUUACGUCACACUCACGUGACGGCCAACACGCCUUGAUUCUAGGAUCGGGGCGUGUUAAUAAACCCAUUAAUUAGCCAAUUAACAUAAUUUAAAAGGAAUGUGUUUGGGAAUUACCUUGUAGAAAGGAUUUGAUGUGGUUGGAUGAAAUAGGCUUUGAAUUGUUACUUAUUUUAGGCUCUUUUGACUUGGUUGAAAGAUAAUUCUUCGCUACUCGAGCGUAGGAAUCCCGAUAUGCCUUAUUCUUGUCCUUUUUUAUCCAAAAAUCUAUGUGUCGCCUUGUGAUUAUUUUUUGCUCUAUAUCACUCAUCAUCCACUAUCAUAUUGUGUAAUAUGAUGCAAGACAUCAUGAUGGAGUCCAAAUUUUCUCGACUCCACCCUCUUACCGGUUCGCUGAUGAUCUUUCACCAAGUUUGUAGAAUACCAAAAACUCUCUCAACAUCUUUCUGGUAUGCGUCUUAGUGUAAGGUAAACAACUUUUCCACGUCAUUCCUAAGGUUUGGAAUUGCUUGGACAAGUGUCGCCCACUUUGGGUAGAUGCCAUCUGUCAAGUAAUACCCCAUAUUAUAUUGACAGUCGUUGAUGUAGUAGUCAAGUUGAGGUGUUUUACCUUCCGUCAAGCGAUUGAAGAGGGAUGAACGCCCAAGAGCUGUAAUGUCAUUUUGGGAUCUAGGGACUCCAAAGAAAGCAUGCCAGAUCCAUGUGUCAUAUGAGGCAACCGCCUUUAACACAACAGUUGGCUUUCUCAACCUUCCGCUAAAGCCUCAUUGCCAUCCGGUAGGACAGUUCUUCCAAUCCCAAUGCAUGCAAUCUAAUGACCAUAUCUUGCCUAGAAACCCACGGUCUUCAGCUUUGCGAAAGAGCCGAUUAAGAUCUUCUUGAUUUGGCUCGCGGAAGUACUUGUCUUUGCAAACCUAAACAAUUGUGUCAUAGAAUUGUUCAAUAAUAUCAAGGCAUGUAGACUUAGACAUACCAUGGGUUUCAUCCAUCAAAUCGGUUAGGGAGCCAUAGGCCAUCAUUCGGAGUGCAACAGUAACCUUCUGAUGAGGUGAGAAACCAAGACGGCCUGCUCUGUCCUACUUUUGUCCAAAGUAUGGAUUAACCUACUGGACAUCACAAAGUAAACGCUCGAAGACAUGACGCCUCAUCCGGAAGCGAUGUCUGAAAUCCUUUUCUUUGUACACCGAGUUGGGGUUGAAGUAGUUGUUCAUCAGAUUGGCAUGCAUCAUCGUUCUGUUUUGUGGUUUGUAAGAGGGACAAGCAACAAAGCCACCUCAUUGAGGUUGUUCCUCAGUUAGCUGACACACCAUUGUCGCAGCCAUGGCUGCUGUUCUGUUUUGUUUGUUGCGCCUUACUUGAACUUUUUCAUUAGACUCCUCAUCUUCUCAUCUCAUUUGCACCCAUUUUUCUUCCAAUUUGGAAAUAGAUGAGGACCCUCAGUUGGAAUCCAAAAAGGAUCCAAAGUUUGAAUUCAUUGCAAACUUGAAUUGAAAUAGAUUGAAUUCAAAGUUGUGUGAAUUAUAGCCCAAUAUCCACCCUAUUUAUAGCAAAAAAAAAAAUUCAAAUCCAACGGCGAGUUGACAUCACUUAGCCGUUGGAUUUGAAUUUAAGUGGUAGUUUUUAAAUAAUAAAUUAUGUUUGGGCCUAUGACCAUUUGGCCUCGAUUGGAGACGGUUUUUUUGUAAUAGGGCUAAAACGAGCCCUAUGACGCUUUGGCCCUCGGUUGGAGACGGAGGCAAAUAUGGCCCUGUACUGUUCAUUAAAAUAUUAAUAUCUUGGAGGGCUAGAGGGCUAAAACGAGCCUCUGGCCAGCCCUCGGUUGAAGAUGGCCUAAGGGUAACGUUCUCUGGCGGCAUGGUCAUGAGUCGAUAAAUUUCUUCCUCGAACUGGAGGGACUCGACCUUGAGUCCUGGUAAAGGGGAUAUUGAUGGUGGAGAUCAAAAGGGGAGAGAAGAAGAUUUUUUAUAUAUUUUUGGUAUUUUUAAUUUCUAAUUUUUUUUUUAAUUUUUAUAAUUUAUAAUUUUUAUAAAUUUUUAAUAUCCACGUGGCGCACAAUCAUUGUCUACAUGGGCACCAUGUCAUCAGUUAACAGCUGACUUAACAGCAAUCAUAACGGAUGUAUGAAACUGUUCCAAAAUUUUGACUUCAGGUACCACUCUGGGAUGAAAAAAACUUGAUGUAAUAAAUGUUGAAAACCAAGAAAAUUGAGGAUAAUAAACUGAGAUUAACCCUAAUAUUAAUAUGAUAUAUAUUUAAAAUUGCUUUUAUUUAUUUAUUUUUUGUGUUUUGUCAACUAAUAGAUUUUUGUUAGAUUAGAUGUUAGAUUAACUUACGAUGGGGUUUGAACCCAUGCCGUCUUGCAAAAGCUCAACAACUUUUCACCACUGGGGUAAAGGGCUACUUGUAAAAUUGCUUUUAUUAGCACCAUAAAAUUUCAUUGUGCACUCUUUAUAAAUAUGAUUUUUGUUUUCUUCUGAAUAUAAAAGUUUACAGUGCUGAAUGAGAUAUUUAGAUUGUUAAUAAUAACACCCUAAAAACGAUUUCUUUUUCAAAUUUUUUGUAUAAUAAUGCUAUAUAUUUAAAUGAAACUUUAAAAUUAGAGAUUUUGAAGCAUUUUUUCUUGUUUGGUUGUUUAAGAUUGAACUGUUUUUUUAUUAUUUAGUAAAGGUUAUAUUUAUAGCUCUUUUUACUUAUUAUUUAAUGAGAUUUAUAUACGUAGUCUCAGUCAAUAAACAUUAGUACCUAGAGACGGGGAUAUUAAUUUUUUCUUUAUUAUUUUUUACAAAUGAUAAGAUAAUUUAUAUUGAAUUCAUCUAAGAGAGAUCCAAACAUGGGACCUCGAGUGUAGGGGUGAGUUCGGUUCAAAUCGGUUCGGGUUUUUGCCAAAGCCGAAACCAAACCGAAAUUUCGGUUCGGUUCAUUUUUUUCGGUUCGGUUUCGGUUUUUUGUUGUUUUUUUUCCUUCAAAAAAUGAAAAACAUUGAAAGUUUAAAUUUUAACAUCUCCAACACAAUCAUAACAUAAGCAUUCUAACUAGAAUCAAAGACAAUGAAAAUAAACAUAUAAAGUUGAACUAAAAUCAUCAAUCAAGUCUUCCAAAGUCCAAACUAAUAACCUCACAACACAAAAAUCGUAUAAAUGACUUAGAAAAGUUAAAUUUUAUGAGGUUGUUCAAAGAUCAGGGUUGUAUGCUUGUAACUGCAUGUCGACAACUUGAUUAGUAAAAGUAAGGCGUGGGUGGAUUUAUUUAGUGUGUGUUGGAUUCUUUUCCAUCACAAAUUACGCAAGUAAUCUACCCGAAAUAAAUGUUUAUGGUUUAUGUUACAUGAUAUAUGAGAAUAGAUUUGGAAAAGAAAGCUGGGGCAGAAGUAGACAGUGCUAUGGAGAUGGAUGCAGGUACUUCAGGAGGAGUUUUGGUUCCGGAACCUUAUAUGGGGGAGAAAUAAUAGGUUAGGGUUUAGAGUUUUUAUAGGCCUUUUUUUAAUAUUUUGAGUUUAAAGUUUGGCAACACAUUGAGUUUAGCACAUUUUGACUUACAAAUUGGGUUUAGAAAAUAAUACCCAAAAAAAAUAAUUAAAUAAAAAAAUUAAUUUAAUUAAUUCGGUUCGGUUCGAUUUGUUUAGAUUUCUUGAUCACUAAAACCAAACCGAACCAAAAGAAUUCGGUUCGGUUCGAUUUUUUCAAUUUGGUUCGAUUUUUUCGGUCGAUUCGGUUUUUUCGGUUUCGGUUCGAUUUGGUUUUCCGUUUUCGGUUUUUUGAACCCACCCCUACUCGAGUGCAUGAGCAAAUGCUCUUAACAAAAAAACCAUAGUCAUCAACAUUUCACAAAAAAUUAAUUUCCAAAGGAACCAUAGUCAUCAACGUUCCACAAAAAAAUUUAAAAACUCAGAAAGAAAAAAAAAAACACCAAUGGUCAACACCAUAUCUUCCGUUCCUCAAAUCAUCUCCUCAAGCUCAAGCGUUAUAUUUACAAGGGCCGCGGCUUGGGUCGGUGGUAAUGAUUUGUCCGGACCCAGAGAAAUCACAGUUAAAGUUGUGACGGCCGUUAGCCUGGUAAUAAGCAUUCAUGAGAUAAGACGCGCGAGCUCUAAUGUCUUUAUCGAAGCAGGCGCUGCCUGGCUGGAUGGACUUGCAGUCAACGCCGGUGCCGCAGACGUAGUUAAUGUUUGAUUGCAAUGCUUGGUUGCUGGCUGCUGGUUUUGCCACGCACCACUUCUUGCCGCCGUUGUUGUUGCCUCCUGCUGUCGGUGUUGCCGGCGUUGCUGGUUUUGAUGGUUUUGGUUGUUUGGCAGGCCUUCCUUUUUUCCCCUUUUUGGGAGCAGCUGGUGUAGUUGGUCCAGCUGGUCUAGAAGGUUGUGUUGGAAUUUGCAUUGUUGGUCCAGGGGUCGCACCACCCUAAAUCAUGCAACAAGUUAGUAUACAUAAGACUAACAUUAUUCUAGCAAUAAGAAUAUAAUAUAUGUGAGUUAGAUUUACGACAGUAUGCCCAUCAUUUGAUGAGCAAUUUAAUUCAACAAAUUGGAUGAAUUUACGAUUAUUAUUUUUUUGUGAAUUAUAUUAUUUUUCAUUAUUUUUUUAGUGGGUGCAGAAAUGUUUCAUGCAACAUUAUUUAAUAUAACACAAGAAACAAAACACCGAAUCUAGAAAUUUUGCUUACCCUACGGUGCAUGUGCCCGACAUUUUAAAUUUAACAAUUACUUUUUGAACAACAGAACUAUCUACACUAAUGGUACGUUUACGUAACGGUAAUGAAAAUAUGAGGAAUUGAAUUAAGGAUGAAUUGAAUUGAAGAGGAGUUGGAAUGAUGAGAAGUUAGAAUCGGAUUCCUGUUGAAGCUGUUUACUUAAAUGUUCUGGAAUCGGAAUAGAAUUCCAUAAAGCUGUUUACUAAUUCAGCAGAAUCGGAAUAUAAACCAGUAUGAUUACUAAAAUGCUCUUGUCCCAAAUCAAAUAUUUUAUAUACUUUAAUGAGUUUAUAAAGGAUAGUCUUGGAAAUAAAAAAAGUAAGUAAGGGCAUAAAGGGAACAAAAGUGUCAUUCCGAUUACCCAAACAAUCAGGAAUUGAAUUACCACAUAUAUAUAAGGAAUCCAAUUCCACCAAUACAAGGAAUUGAAUUCCAAAAUUUGUAUGGACCCCACUGCUUUUUUAAUUCCUCCAUGUUUAGUAAACAUCGGAAUAUUCCGUAAUCGGAAUUCAAUUCCACAUUCUCAUUCCGAUUACGGAUACGUAAACGCGCAGUUGAGCCUCACAAUCGACUAGCCUUAAUAAUGUAGUUUAAAUUCGCUUUUGGCGAGAAUCGGCCCUAAGAUCUUUUACUUACAAGUGAAAAAAAAAAAAUCACUAGAUAAUAGUACUACCUGAUUAGAUUUCAUGCAUGCAAUCAAUCAAUUUAAUACUCUACUUAGUUAUAAGCCUACACUACUAGGCUCAACAUUUAACAAUUAAGUAUUUAAGACAACAAUGAUGAGAUGGGCUAAAUAAAGAAACAAAAGCAAAAUGGAAAAUCAAAAGACGAUUAAUCAAGAACCAACCUGUUGAUUGCGCAUAACCCCAGCAUUGUACACCGGAGUCAUGUCCGGUUUGAAUAGCCCCCAGUUCUUCUCAGCAGACGGACCGGGUUUCUGAUUCUCAUUAAACAAAGCAAAGAUGUAAGUCUCGAACUUCCGGUUCGGCAUCAAAGGCGUACCCUUCCCGGACUCAACAUGCUUGAUCAAGUUACCGUUGUAGUCUACAGCGUUCUGAACCGAACACACUGGGAACUCGCAAGCCGAAGGCCAACCGGUCUCGGCCGCAAUCAUGUCCACAUCACCGAACCCGAUUGCCUUGGCAGCUGAGUAAACCGCGUCCAUCAACCCAUCGAACAUGUUAGUGUAAAACUUGCCAGUGACUGUAUCGUGCACACCCUGAUUGGGUCUGAAGAGAGCGUAGUUCUCUUUUUCGGGUGACCACCCGAAAUACGGGUACGGGUUAACCAUGAAAGGCGACUUAGUCUGGGUACAGAACUUAAGCAUUUGAGUCAGAAUUGGAAUCACCUCCGGUCUGAAUCGGCCCGUGCUGGGCGGGUCAGAAGACAACAUGAUUCCCAGCGAGUGAGGGGUCGAGACCUUGACGUCUUUGAUCCCCUCUUGGGCCAAAGCACUGUGGAAGGUCUCCAUGGCAGGAACUAGGCUCGACUUGAGAGCGUCGUCCCCCCAGUGGAGGACCUCGUUGCCCAAGGCAAUGUAUUUGAUUUUGCUUGCCGGGUAAAACGGCUUGACAUGAUCAGUGAUCCAACGGCGAGCGGUUUGUAGGUUUUUGAGGCUCGGAAUUUCUCCAUUGGGGACGGUAAUCGUCAAGGAGAUGUUGGUGUUGGCGAAGGCCUUGAUGAUGUCUGGGUUGGCGUCGAAGAGUUUGACGGCGUCGAUCUUGGUUUGGGUUUUGAUGAAGUCGGCGACUUUGGCAGGUGGCGGGAGGUUGUCGGCGAGAGUACCAUAGUUUACACCGAUGGAGUAGGCUGUGGCGGCGAGCUGGACGAGGAGGAGAAGGGAUAGGAGGAGCUUGGUGGUAGCCAUGGUUGUUUUUUUUCUUUUAUUCGUGGUGUUUCGGGAGGUGGUGGAUGCUCUCCUUUUUCCUUGGAGGACUUGGGAGUUUAUGGCCGAAGUAUUUAUAGUGGGGAAAGGGAAAAGAAAUUGAGGACAGGAAAUAAGAAGAUAAGGGACGAAUGAGAUCGUGACGUGUAGUUGGUCAAAUAUCUAUUUUAUUUGUGAUUUCUAUUUACUUCUAAAUUAUGUUGGAUUUUCUUGAUGUAUGCUAAUUAUUUGGAGGAAUUUUAUCUUUUUAUUACACAUCAAAACCUAAAAAUAACUCCACGUCCAGAGUCCGAAGGCUGAUAUACUUUCAUCAGUCUUCUUUGUAUAUGAAAGUAUAGAUUGUCGUGGUGAAGCCACUAUCUGGUCUUUUUUAUUAUCUAUUUAAUCAUGUAUUAGCAUUAAAAUAACUUAUCAAGUAGUUGGAAUGAAUGUACAUAUAACUUUUUUUAUCUCUCGUACGUCAAUAUCACAUAAAGGAAAAAAAUACGUAACAAACUUGGCUUACGAUAAUUUCGUUUGCUUUUGUUGCUUGAUUACCUUGAAUCCUAAUUUAGCUAGGUUACGUGUAAUUUGUUGUCAAAAUUGUUCGGGGCUCAUAACAUCUGAAAAAUGUCAACUGUUUGGGGCUCAUAACAUCUGAAAAAGCUUAAGGUAGAGCGAAGGGCAAUGCAUAGAGAAGCAUCUCUAGCAAACGUUGAGAUGUUGAAAUGUUAACUUUUGGCUUUGGGUUGAUGACACAUGCCAACUCAUCUUUGGCACUUGGCUAGGGACAAAACUAGCUAACAUCCAGAACAUUUGUCGCACGUAAGAUAGUGUUGCUAAUUUUUUUUUUUUAAAUAUUUACAAUUUGAUUGACGUUAGUGAUAAUUUUUAGAAAAUGUGUAUGCUUAUUAACACUAUAUCAUAAAUUUAUAAGGCAUCAUUCACAUCGUUCAUUCAUAUUAUGCUACGUGAGUUAAUGGCGUCACAUAAUUGUAUUAAUCUCACUUAUCAAAUCCUAUUACAUAGUUCCGCAACCAUGUAUGGUUAAUUAAAUAAACAUCUGAGUGGCAUGAGUAUCCAUAUCUCAACAGAAGUCAUACUUCGCCAGUACCAUAAGCUUUUUUGUACUAAACCCUAAACCCAUCUAUGUUUUUCUGUACACCUUCCCAUCUCUGUUUUUCCAAAAUGAAAAUAAAAUGGGACACUUUGGAAGAUAAACAGGGAGACCCAGGGAGCAGGAUAAGAGAGGAAGGAAAAGAGAUGGAGAGUGCGGCGUCCAGAGGCAGCGGAGGGUAGGAGGGAUGGUUGACGGAGCUUUGGUGGACGGCGUUGUUCUUUACUUUAUUUUCCAAUUUUUUAUUUUAUUUUCUGAAAGGGAUAAAAUGAAUUUCAAAUCCAGCUAUUAAAAUAACAUACACAUGUUAGAUUUUGAAAUGAAAAUAUCACCGUCCACGUGGUGAUACAUCUAAUAAUUUCUUCGGAAGGUGAGGGCCAGUGUCCAAGAACACACAGGUCGGGUCCCAUUUAUGAAAUAAAAAACAAGGAAAGUAGAGAUUGGGCCCUUAAUAUGGCCUGUCUCACUGAUUUUUGUUGCUAGACGUGGGACCUGGCUUUUCUGUGCUCUCUUUCCGUACAAUCUCAUUAUCUUCUAUUUAUACGGUCACGGUUAAGUUAUAUCAAUAUUUUAUAUUAUUAUUAUUUUUUAUCUUAUUAUCUUUAUAAAAAAAUUAAUAUAAAAUUUUGACGUGAUUUAACCGUGACCGCACAAACUAGGAGGAGAUGAAAGUGUAUGAAAAGUGAGAGGGCAGAGAAGCCAGCCCGCUAGACGUGACCUAAUUUUCACUACCCAAGUAAGAAAAUUGCAAAAUUAUGUGACGGAUGUAAUCUCAUUUUUCGGUUCAUUUCAUAAUACUUCAAAUAUAAAAGCUUUAAGAAGGAUAAAACACCCACUGAGAAUGCUCUAGCACACCAAGACUACAAGGCACCUACUCUUGUUGUUUGUGUAUUUUCUAUUUGUCUACCUCCGUCAUAAUAUUUUGAGCAGUGUGUCUUUUAAAGAUUUAGUUUUUGUUUUUAUUUAUCAAUAAUCAUGUUUCGAGUGAGUUCAAUAAUAAUUUGUGAUCAUUUAGUACUACGGUCUAAUUAUAUUUUUUUUAUGUGUAAAUGAGAGGUCUUAGGUUUGAUUCUCGCCAAAAGCGAAUUUGAAUCACAUUAUUACUAGCACAUUAUAAGAUUAAGUCCACUCUCCUUCCUUAUUAGUAUAAAUAAUAUUAUUUAUUAAAAAAAAAAAUAAUAAUAAUAAUUAGUGGCCCCUGUGACUCGUUGUGGAUGAGAUAACCACCUCUUCUUUAUGUGUAUUUGCAGAUAGGGCUGGGUUCGGUUCUUUUCGGUUCGGUUUUUUGCCAAAACCGAAAUCAAACCGAAAUUUCGGUUCGGUUCGGUUCGACCCAUAUUUUUUUCGGUUUUUUUCAGUUCGGUUUUUUUUUCGGUUCGGUUUUUUCGGUUCGGGUUCGGUUUUUUUUCGGUUUUUUUUUUUUUUCCUCCAAAAAAUGCAAAACAACCACAACAUAAGAUAGAAAUAGAAAAUAUGACAUGUUUCCAUCUCUCCAGGACGGUUUUUCAAUAUUCAUGAGGGAAGUUACUACUUACUAAUUAAUCUAAAAACAUAAAGUCUCAUAAAACUAAAAGUCUUCAAAAAAUGAAAAUAAACAUUUAAAGUUCAACUAGAAAUAGAAUCAAUCAUCAAUCAAGUUUAAGUCUUCAAAAAGUCCAAAUUAAACAUCAAAGUUUAAGUCUUCAAAAAGUCCAAAUUUAAACAUCACACAAGUCAAAUAAACCUUCAAGGUUUCAUCACUCAUGGUCAUGUCUUGCACAAAUAAAAUCCUUCCAAGUCUUCAAGCUCAAGCUCAUCGCAUAGGCGGCCUAGGAGGCAACAUAACAAAUUGCAUAAGCUCAGAAGUUUCACAACCAUGUUAAAACAGGUAAGAAUUAAUACAACAAGCAUUAACGCUAUAAAGGACAAUACUGAAGGCUAAGAAGAGAUGAAUGUAAUGAUUUAAAAAUGAACUCUCACUCAACCUAAGGCUAUAUACAAUCUCCUUAUUUAAUUUUGUUUAAGUGUCAGCGAGGUAAGACAAACCAUACCUCUUCAAACCGCUCAGCUUCAUUAGCUGAUUCAGUUUCAGCAACCACGGCAGGUGGUGGAGGUCCUAUAAAAUAUUCAGAAUCUCUUCUUCCAACUCAGCUUCUCUGUACAUAUGUAAUAAAAACCACAACAUUUCAAGCAGUCACAAUGAGAAAAUACUAUAAUCCACCACCACGUCAACAGGUAACCCAAAUUAUAACUGUAAUUCAAAAUAAACAAGACUAGAGUAAUUGCAAAGUUGUUUCAAAAUAAUUUGCCAGCUGAAUAAUCUGUCAAAUAAAAUACCUUAGCUCAGCCUGUGCCUUCGUCAAUUUGGCUGCUGCUGCAAGUAACUCAGUUGAUGGCAUUGCAGGGCCAAUUGUCCUAAAAUGUAAUGCAAGCAAUCAACCAAAAAAUAACAAAUCAAGGUUCUUUUCUUAAGCAAUACAUAAGUGUCAUUAAAUAUUCGACAUAUAUAUCAAGCCCAUCAGUACCUGAUGCAAUAUGUAAAACUAAAGAUAGAAGUAUGGUUACAUUAAAAACUUUUACCAGUAUAUUACUUUCAAGAAGAACCCAAAUUAUGGGGCUGUUUCUCACGAAAAAUUACAACUAUGCAUGUCAAUCUCUAACAAAAGCUAUUGAAGAAAAACAGAUCUCAACCUCAUGGCUUGUCUUUAAAAACAGUAAUGUACCCAAAAUUUGAGGAGCUUUUCUUUCUCAAACUCGUACUCUAUCUUUAUGGUUGUCCAACUGCACAAUUGAAUGAGAAAUUACAGUCAGUUACAUAAGAAAAAACUCAGAGAAGAAAAAAUUUGCAUGUAACGGAAAGUGAAGAAAAACAGAUCUCAACCUCAUGGCUUGUCUUUAAUUCCACAUAAAACCUCCUUCCAUCAUCAGUUGAAUCACAGCAAUCCAUUUCAGCACCCAUCAGAAUACGAUGAGCCCCUAAUUUUGUUUUGAUCACAGAACAGUAUUCAACAUUGGCAUCAACAUUAUGUAUCGAUGAGCCCCUAAUUUUUCUUUCUGUUUAUCUAUUUUCUCAGCAACAAAAGAGAACCCAGAAAAUUCACGAGAGAAAUUACGGAGAGGAGUCAAUACCUGGAGGACUUUGGGGCCGAGGAGGUGAGAGGACUUUCGGAGGGUAUGCGGGUCGGGCAAGGACCUGGAGGAGAUGGAAAAAACUAUAGUCCGUUUUUCAUCUUAAUAUUUUAUAUGGUUACAUGAGUGAAUUAAUAACACAAAAUGAUUGUCUGGUUAGUCAAAUAAAAGAAUUACUGUCUUAAGCUUGAUUCGAAAAAAAAAAAAUCUAUAAUGAGUCAAAAAGAAUUCGCUAUCCUUCACUGACAAUAACCUUAUUACAUGAAUAACACGUGACAAAUAGACAUGAGGAAAAUGAUAUACAAGGACCGCAUCAUAACCCUUCAAACCAAUCUAACUCUCUCACCUGAUUAUUAAGAUUGUUGUGGUGGUGUAGUCCUAUGCACUACAAGCACAUACUAAUGUUUGAUUCGAAGACAUAAUUUGAUGAUUUAAGCAAACACUUUAACGCUCAAGCCUCAUUGGUGAAACGAUUGGGAAAACAAAUUGAGGGGAAAAGUUGUAGAAGUAAGAGGAAAAGUAAUGAAAAAAAACACAAUGGACCAAUAUGUGGGGAUACAAAAGCAUUCAAGGAAAAUCCAGGUUCGGAAUUGUUAAUUAUCAUUUGAUAUCUAAUACCUUAACCCUUUGAUGUAUAUAUACAAUAUCAUUAAAGGUAAUAAUUUUUGCACGCUUUUUCUUCUUCUGUAAAUUUUUAUUUAUUUGCGUCUCUUAAUCUUUUUAUUUAUUUAUUUAAUUUAAAUUAUAAAAAAAAGAAGUAAAAAUUAUUUCCUUAUCUCGAAUUUGUACUCAGUUUUGGAUUUUAACUCAUUAUUUCUUUAAAAUUAAAAACUGGAGAUCUUGGGUUCGAAACCAGUUGCUGGUGUGGAAGCUAGACUUGUCACAGCCCGUCCCGAGAUUCUAUUUAUCGAGGUUGUGAAAUGACGAAAGUACCCUUGACGGUUACUAAGGUAUGUGUGUGGCAUGUUUUGAAUAAUGCAUAUUUUCCUAAGUUUUGGAAAAUUUAAGUUGGAUUAAAGGAUGUGUGUAUAUUUGUGUGGUUAGGGAAUUAAAGAGUGACUUGUUUUGGGUGGACCACACACACACACACGGGACAAACCCUUUCCUUCCCCGUGCCCUCUUUCUCUUCCCUCAUAGUUCUCUCUCUUCCCUCGUAGUUCUCUCUCUUCCCUCGCAGUUCUCUCUCUUCCCUCCUGAUUCGAAUGGUGUUACUUUUAGAACUGGAAACCUUAGAAAUCGCGUCGAACCCGUAACCCAUUUUGAAAUCAUUGUUCAUGCACACGUGAAUUGUUAAAUUUCAGGGAAUUCUAAGCUUACAGUGAGCUUAGUAAGGUCCUAAGUAAGCUUGGAGAGUUUAGUUUGAAGGUUUUGGACGUCGGGAUCGUCGAGUUCGAAGUUGGCCGGUUUUCUUGGAAUUUCUCCGGUGAGAUUUCGUAUGUUUUUUAACCUUAAAGUAGUGUAACGUGAUUAUACACGCUUAGGGCUUCAAUUUGAUAUAAAAUGCGUGAAAAAUGGUUGAGAAAUGACGGAGAACAAAGAGAUUGAAAAAUCUCCAGUUUUCCAGUGACUGGAGGAAGAAGGUGACGCGCGUGGGGGCACGUGGGUCUGUGCCCCUCCCAGCGCGUGCGGCCUCGAAAUUUUUUUCUAAAAAUACCUCGACGUCCGUGACGUCGAGUAGGUUACUGUGAUAUAUUCAUAUACCCAAAUUGAGCAUCGUAUGAGAAGUUAUUACGAAUUGUCGGUUAUGUGCUUUAAAUAACGUUGUUUUAGUUGUUUCGCAUAUAGGUGAUACCUAUCCCGAGGACGAGCGCAUUCAAGGACGUCACAGGGGUUACGACCCUUCGACUUAUCAGUGAGUGGGCAGUUAUUUUCUAUUAUUACCUAUAUACUACUGAAUUUCCCAGAAAUUGAAUUUAAAUGAAAGUAUGUUUUUAAAAUGCCAUGCAUGCAUAUUAUGAAUUAUAUGAAUUAGUAAUUGAUGCAUAUAUAUGUGAAAUGGUGAUGUGGACGCACAUGUGAGUAUCAGGUGAGUUUUAUGUUAUUCAUGUGAACUAUCGAUUAAGUGAAUUGUGUUGAAAGUUCAAACCUGCACCCCUGGUGUUAGUGCUUAUAUUAUUCACCUUGCACCGCACGCUCACCUUGGAUCUAAGUAGGUGCAUGUCACAGACCAUGAGAAGGUUCCGACAUGUCGUACAGACCAUAGAGUGGUUCCGACUGUAGGUGAUUUUAGAUUAUUAUACAGCUGUUGAUGAGAUAAGCACUAGAGCGUAUUCUUACACCAUUCUUAUCGUACAGACUACUUCAGGUAGUUCCGAUUUAUGUGCAGAGUAGUGCCGUACAGGUCACUGUGGUGACUCCGGUUGGUUUGGAUAUUGAGCUAUGGAAUUAACCGUACAGGACCAACUGCAGGGUCUUUAGUUGAUUCAUUAUGUCACCUGUUAUAUUGAUGCAUUCUUAAUCUGUUAUUGACAUUUAUUGCAUAGCAUACUUUCUGGUUUUGAUAAAUAUUGGUGAUUUGAGAUAUUUGAAGAAGUAUAUGCAUAUUAUGUUAUUUUCUGGGAAAGUAUACAGGUUUUACAGCGAGGGGUUAGAAAUGUUAUUAAUUGAAAUGUUUUCAAAAGCUUUGUUUUACUGACCCACUCAAUUUUGUUUUACACCCCUCCAGGUUCUAGUUAGCAGCAUUGGUGGCCCACGAGGAUUCCCACGGCGUACUGACAUACUACAUAAAUGUAUGACUCACCUUCAGGUGUUGUAAUUUAGUUAUGGUCCUAUUUGACUGCACCUAGUACUUAUGCUCUGAAUAUGUGUGUUUCACACUUAAACUUACUCUAGCAUGCCAGUUGGAUAUUAUUGCUAGUAUUUGGUUUUUAUUUCUUCUUAUUUAUCUUAUCUAUUGCUUCCGCGUCGCACUUUUGGUUACGUCACACUCACGUGACGGCCAGUACGCCUUGAUUCUAGGAUCGGGUUAUGUCAAGACUUGUGGCUAGGAAGAGGCUGAAAUAUCUAUGUGAGUCUUUCCGACCUCCAGAAGAGGUGGAUAACCGUAGCUUGCCACUAGUUAUCUCCUUUUUUUAAAGAAAAAAAAAAGUAUAUAGUUAUACCAUGAAAAUAUAUUAUAAAAUAAAAAAAAAAGGAGCAAUUUUUAUCUCUAAUUCUAUGAAGAUAGUCAACUUUAGAGGAACUUUUGUCUUCAAGCUAAUUCCCAUGACAAUAUAUUCUAUUUAGUUCUCUCAAAUUUUUAUAUUUGAUUUUGUAAAGAAAUAUAAGAACUAUUUUUUUUUUUUUUUUAUUUUUGGCCAAAAAAUUAUUUCCAACAUAAUGUAUUGAUCUGAGCCUAUCACUUAUAGGAAAAAUGCAAAUGGAAAGUCCAAUUUGAUGAACCAAAAUAGUACUGUGAAGAUUUAACUAAAUCAAUUUGAUAAACCAAAAUAUUACUGUAAAGAUUUUACUAAGUCAUCAAAUGAUUAAAUAUCAAAACACGACAAUUACAUGCAUGUUGCAACACUUGUCACAUAGUUUAUUUAUUUUUCAUUCUAAAAUUAUCUCCAUUUCCAUGAAACAAGAAAGAUUUUGUAAUACAGAAGUUGUAGUGAAGAUGGCAAGAGAAAAUCAAGAACAGAUAAGCAGAUUCCACUCCCCAUGACUCGUUGGCCGACGUCUGAAGGCGAUGCGAUCAUUGACCUUUUAGCGUAAAAAUGUGAUUUUUCGUUAAAAUAUACGAAAGCUUUUCGUUAAAAUUCUUUUUAUCAAUAAAUAAAAUAUCUUGAUUUUUUUUAUUAGUACAUCAAUAUUUUUAGUCUUCUUUAAAAAAAAAAGAUUUCAUCCCUAUUUUAGCUAAUUAGGGACCAGAACAAAAGUUUUCCUUUAUUUUUUUAACAAAUAAUAAGAUAAUUAUAUUGAAUUCAUUUAAACUACGAGAAGAGAUAUUCAAACACAGAACCUCAUGCGCAUGAACGAGAAUGCUCUUAACCAUCAUAUACUAAUUAAAUUCCAAAUACACCAUAGUCAUCAACAUUCCACAAAAAAAUUUAAAAAAAAAUUAAAAAGAAAGAAAAGUCACGAUCAACACCAUAUCUUCCGUUCCUCAUCAUCUAUUCAAGCUCAAGAAUUGUAUUUACAAGAGCCGUGGCUUGGGUCGGUGGUGGUGAUUUGUCCGGACCCAGAGAAAUCACAGUUGAAGUCGUGACGGCCGUUAGCCUGGUAGUAAGCAUUCAUAAGGUAAGACGCGCGGGCUCUAACGUCGUUAUCAAAGCAAGCGCCGCCUGGCUGGAUGGACUUGCAAUCAACUCCGGUGCUACAGACGUAGUCAAUGUUUGAUUGCAAUGCUUGGUUGCUGGCUGCUGAUUUUGCCACGCACCACUUCUUGCCUCCUGCUACCGGUGUUGUCGGCGUCGCUGGUGUUGAUGGUUUUGCUGGUCCGGCAGGCUUUCCUGGAGUUGCACCAUCCUAAAUCACACAACGAUUUAGUAUACAUAAAGACUAACAUCAUUCUACCAUAACAAUAUAGCAUAUGUGAGUUAAGUCAGAAUGUUAAGGCAGUAUAUCCGCCACUCUGAAAUAUCGAUAAAAAUACAUCUUCGGUACAAAUUCAAAAUUUGUAUGAUGAGAAUCCAAUUUGGUUAAUAUGUAGCCUAACAGAGAACAUUAAGAAACUACUAAAAUUAUAUGUUUGCAUCAAAUGCCAAUUCUUGUAUAUCCACAAAUUUUGUUCAACAAAUAAGGUUUGAGUAGUACCGAUGACACUACAUUUUACUAUAUUAGCUAAAUAUGACAAUGUUUUAUUUGUUUCUUGACCAUUAUGAUACAUAAUUAUUACAUUUAAAUUAGAAAUUUACACAUAAUUAAUAACCGAAAACUGAUUAUGUCUCUCUAACUAGAUGUAAUUUUUUAUUUUGUGAUUCAAUAAAGUUCACCUCGUUCGGCUUUAGAUUUUCCUAAAAAUCAUAACUUAAAACUAGGAACAUUUUUGCUCCCCACUCUAAACUUUUAUGCAUGGUUAAUUAUUUGUCAUGUGUCACUUAAUCAUGAUUAAUUUUUUUCAAAAUAAAAAAGUAACAUUUAAUAUAAAAGUUUACUAAAAUUAAAUGAAAGAACAAAUGAUAAAUGAUUAGACGUAUUCAUGAACAUGCAUCUUAAUUAUAAUGGCGAGCAAAAGUAUUCGCCUAAAAGCUGAGAUCAUUUGUUAACUUUACACGUUAUUUGGUGAACAAUUUAAUUCAAUAAACAGUAUGAAUUAAAUUAAUUUUUUUUUUAAUUGGAUUUUUACCAAUAUAAUUCAUAUCACUAGACAGAUAAUAAGAUAUGUAUGUUAAAAAGUUAAUAACUUAUAAAAUAAAAUUUACCGCUAUUCUUAUUAAAAUAAGUAAUCUACCAUCUAUGUUCCUUAAAAAUUUCUUGAUUUGAUGGGGUGCAGAAACGUUCCCUGCAACAUUAUUUAAUUUAACACAAGAAACAAGACACCGAAUCUAGAAAAUUUGCUUAAUCAACGGUGCAUGUGACCGACGUUUUAAAGUAAAAAGCCUACGAAUUAACAAAUAAAUAUUUAAUACAGAAAAAGACAAAUAAAUAUUUAAUCAAGAACCAACCUGUUGAUUGCGCAUAACCCCAGCAUUGUAAACCGGAGUCAUGUCCGGUUUGAACAGCCCAAAGUUCUUCUCAGCGGCCGAACCGGGUUUCUGGUUCUCAUUAAACAAAGCAAAGAUGUAAGUCUCGAUCGUACGGUUCGGCAUCAAUGGCGUACCCUUACCGGACUCAAUAUGCUUGAUCAAGUUACCGUUGUAGUCCGCAGCGUUCUGAACCGAGCAGACUGGGAGCUCGCAAGCCGAAGGCCAACCGGUCUCGCCCGCAAUCAAGUUCACGUCACCGAACCCGAUUGCCUUGGCAGCUGAGUAAACCGCGUCCAUCAACCCAUCGAACAUGUUAGUGUAAAACUUGCCGGUGAAUUUAUCGCGCACACCACUGUUGGGUCUGAAGAGAGCGUAGUUCUCCUUUUCGGGUGACCACCCGAAAAACGGGUACGGGUUAACCAUGAAAGGCGACUUGGUCUGGCGACAGAACAGAAGGAUUUGGGCCAGAAUUGGAUGCACCUCCGGUCUGAACCGGCCUGUGCUGGGCGGGUCGGAAGACAACAUCAUUCCGAGCGAGUGAGGGGUCGAGACCUUGACGUCCUCGAUUCCCUCACGGAUCAAAGCGUUGUGGAAGGUCCUCAUGGCAGGGACGAGGCUCGCCUUGAGAGCGUCGUCCCCCCAGUGGAGGACCUCGCUGCCCAUGGCAAUGUAUUUGAUUUUGGUUGCCGGGUAAAACGGCUUGACGUGAUCAAUGAUCCAAUGGCGAGCGGUGCGUAGAUUUAUGAGGCUCUGGAUGUCUCCGUUGGGGAUGGUAAUCGUCAAGGAGAUGUUGGUGUUGGCGAAUGCCUUGAUGAUGUCGGGGUUGGCGUCGAAGAGUUUGACGGCGUCGAUGUUGGUUUGGGUUUUGAUGAAGUCGGCGACUUGGGCCGGUGGCGGGAGGUUGUCGGCGAGAGUACCGUAGUUUACGCCGAUGGAGUAGGCUGUGGCGGCGAGCUGGACGAGGAGGAGAAGGGAGAGAAGGAGCUUGGUGGUGGCCAUGGUUGCUUUUUUCUUUUUGUGGUGGUGCUUUGGGAAGGCGGUGGAUCCUCU
rnacentral:lncRNA from 1 species